AUUGAACGCUGGCGGCAGGCCUAACACAUGCAAGUCGAGCGGAUGAAGGGAGCUUGCUCCUGGAUUCAGCGGCGGACGGGUGAGUAAUGCCUAGGAAUCUGCCUGGUAGUGGGGGAUAACGUCCGGAAACGGGCGCUAAUACCGCAUACGUCCUGAGGGAGAAAGUGGGGGAGCUUCGGACCUCACGCUAUCAGAUGAGCCUAGGUCGGAUUAGCUAGUUGGUGGGGUAAAGGCCUACCAAGGCGACGAUCCGUAACUGGUCUGAGAGGAUGAUCAGCCACACUGGAACUGAGACACGGUCCAGACUCCUACGGGAGGCAGCAGUGGGGAAUAUUGGACAAUGGGCGCAAGCCUGAUCCAGCCAUGCCGCGUGUGUGAAGAAGGUCUUCGGAUUGUAAGGCACUUUAAGUUGGGAGGAAGGGCAGUAAGUUAAUACCUUGCUGUUUUGACGUUACCAACAGAAUAAGCACCGGCUAACUUCGUG
rnacentral:rRNA from 1 species